GACGGACGCUGGCGGCGUGCUUAACACAUGCAAGUCGAACGGAAAGGCCCUGCUUUUGUGGGGUGCUCGAGUGGCGAACGGGUGAGUAACACGUGAGUAACCUGCCCUUGACUUUGGGAUAACUUCAGGAAACUGGGGCUAAUACCGGAUAGGAGCUCCUGCUGCAUGGUGGGGGUUGGAAAGUUUCGGCGGUUGGGGAUGGACUCGCGGCUUAUCAGCUUGUUGGUGGGGUAGUGGCUUACCAAGGCUUUGACAGGUAGCCGGCCUGAGAGGGUGACCGGCCACAAUGGGACUGAGAUACGGCCCAGACUCCUACGGGAGGCAGCAGUGGGGAAUAUUGCACAAUGGGCGGAAGCCUGAUGCAGCAACGCCGCGUGCGGGAUGACGGCCUUCGGGUUGUAAACCGCUUUCGCCUGUGACGAAGCGUGAGUGACGGUAAUGGGUAAAGAAGCACCGGCUAACUACGUG
rnacentral:rRNA from 1 species